rnacentral:rRNA from 1 species
AGCGAACGCUGGCGGCAGGCCUAACACAUGCAAGUCGAACGAAGUCUUCGGACUUAGUGGCGGACGGGUGAGCAACACGUGGGAACGUGCCUUUAGGUUCGGAAUAACUCAGGGAAACUUGUGCUAAUACCGAAUGUGCCCUUCGGGGGAAAGAUUUAUCGCCUUUAGAGCGGCCCGCGUCUGAUUAGCUAGUUGGUGGGGUAAUGGCCCACCAAGGAUACGAUCAGUAGAUGGUCUGAGAGGAUGACCAGCCACAUUGGGACUGAGACACGGCCCAAACUCCUACGGGAGGCAGCAGUGGGGAAUCUUGCGCAAUGGGCGAAAGCCUGACGCAGCCAUGCCGCGUGGAUGAUGAAGGUCUUAGGAUUGUAAAAUCCUUUCACCGGUGAAGAUAAUGACUGUAGCCGGAGAAGAAGCCCCGGCUAACUUCGUGCCAGCAGCCGCGGUAAGAC